GACGAACGCUGGCGGCGUGCUUAACACAUGCAAGUCGAACGGAAAGGCCCUGCUUUUGUGGGGUGCUCGAGUGGCGAACGGGUGAGUAACACGUGAGUAACCUGCCCUUGACUUUGGGAUAACUUCAGGAAACUGGGGCUAAUACCGGAUAGGAGCUCCUGCUGCAUGGUGGGGGUUGGAAAGUUUCGGCGGUUGGGGUUGGACUCGCGGCUUAUCAGCUUGUUGGUGGGGUAGUGGCUUACCAAGGCUUUGACGGGUAGCCGGCCUGAGAGGGUGACCGGCCACGUUGGGACUGAGCUACGGCCCAGACUCCUACGGGCGGCAGCAGUGGGGAAUAUUGCACAAUGGGCGGAAGCCUGAUGCAGCAACGCCGCGUGCGGGAUGACGGCCUUCGGGUUGUAAACCGCUUUCGCCUGUGACGACGCGUGAGUGACGGUAAUGGGUAAAGAAGCACCGGCUAACUACGUG
rnacentral:rRNA from 1 species